CUCGUUUCGUUAUCGUUCGAUUCCAUUUUUUGUUUUUCCCAUGCUCGAUUGCGCAUAAAUCAAAUCCCAAACUUUUCUUCUUAACCAAACAAGAUUUAGCUAGGUUUCGAUUAUUCUAGAACCGCAUGCUUUUUUACCCAAUUAUGCUCGAUUUGCUCUUUUGAAAACUCAAUGAGGUUUUGACCGGAUGAAUCAAUCAGUCGGGGGUUUAGGUGGUCAAGCUUCAUUAUCAGCCUUAUAAGCUUUAGGGUUUAAUUAACAAUGACCGAUCGCAGCAACAACAACAUCAACGCUGUUGUUAAACCGAUAUGGAUGAAGCAAGCCGAGGAGGCCAAGCUCAAGAGUAAGGCCGGGAAAGCUGCCGCUGCAAAAGCUGCCGCUGCAAAAGCCGCCGCUGCAAAAACCGCAUUCGAGGCGACAUUCAAAGCUGUGACAAACAGACCUAAUAAACCUUCAGAUUCUGAUUCUGAUUCAGAAGGAGAAUUAGAGGAGGAUUUGGCCAAUAAACCUGUGGGCCCUGUGGAUCCUGCCAAGUGCACUGCCGUUGGGGCAGGCAUUGCUGAUGGGACUGCUUUUGCUCCCUCUAUGUUCAUAGUAGUGACAAAGGACGCGGAUGGAAGGGAAGUUCCUCAUGGGGCCGCACAGAUUAAGGUGAAAGUGUCGCCCGGAGUGGGUGUUGGGGGGUACAGUGCAAGAAGGAAUUGUGAAGGAUAUGGGGGAUGGGACUUACACAGUGACUUAUGUGGUGCCCAAAAGGGGGGAUUAUAUGUUGAAUAUUGAGUUUAAUAGCAAACCCAUCAUGGGUAGUCCAUUCCCUGUGUUCUUCAGUGCAGGUACUUCAACUGGAGGACUUCUGGGUAUGGCUCCUGCAUCUACUUUUCCGAACUUAAGUUUACCUGACCAUGCCCAGCAUGCCAAACUAUUCGGGAUCUGUUUCUGGGGCAUUCCCUGGAUUAAUUGGGAUGAUUCCGGGCAUUGUUCCUGGUGCUUCUGGUGGCGCUAUUUUACCUGGAAUUGGAGCAUCUCUUGGGGAAGUUUGUCGAGAAUAUCUUAAUGGUCGAUGUGCAAAAUCUGACUACAAGUUGAACCAUCCACCUCACAAUUUGCUAAUGACUGCAUUAGCUGCAACAACCACCAUGGGGACUCUUAGUAAGGUGCCUAUGGCACCUUCAGCAGCUGCAAUGGCUGCUGCUCAGGCCAUUGUUGCUGCUCAAGCUCUUCAAGCUCAUGCUGCUCGGGUUCAAGCACAAAAUCAGUCUGCCAAAGAUUCAACUGGUUCACUUGACGAAGCUGGGAAGGAAGACACGCUGAACAAGAUGCUCCAAGUUAGCAAUCUUAGCCCACUUCUGACAGUGGACCAGCUGAAACAACUAUUUGGGUAUUUUGGCACAGUUGUCUAUUGUACAAUUACUGAUUCAAGGCAUUUGGCCUACAUUGAAUACUCUGAACCUGAAGAAGCAACUGCUGCUUUAGCAUUAAACAAUAUGGAUGUUGGGGGUUGGCCAUUGAAUGUUGAGAUGGCUAAAUGACUUCCUCAAAAACCGAUUUUGAAUUCUUCCACGGCUUCAUCUUCUCUUCCAAUGAUGAUGCCGCAAGCUGUUGCCAUGCAGCAGAUGCAAUUUCAACAAGCUUUGCUUAUGCAACAAACUAUGGCUGCACAGCAGGCAGCUAACCGUGCUGCAACAAUGAAGUCUGCUGCAGAGUUAGCAGCUGCCAGAGCUGCAGAGUUAGCAGCUGCCAGAGCUGCAGAAAUUAGUAAGAAGUUAAAAGCUGAUGAACUUGUUGAUGAAGAGAAAGAACCAAAAAGAAAAUCUAGGUCACCAUCCCAAUCUCGAGCAAGGUCCAGAUCUAAGUUAAAAUCACCAGUUAAUUAUAGGGGAAGGCGGAGGUCUCCCUACUCAAGGAUAAAUAGUAGUAGGAGUGUGAGCCCUCAAAGGAAGAAGUCCUAUAGAGUUGAUUCAGGUUCGCCAAAAUGCCGCCAAGAAUAUUCACCACAUAGAGUGAGAAAAUCUGUCCAUGGUGAUUCAAGAUCACCAAGGCAUCAUUGAGGAAGUAGAUCAUCUCCAAGAAAUGACAGCGAUAAACAAAAAUACAGAAAACGCACUAGGUCCAAAUCUGUGGAAGAUACCAAUGACCUUGCAAAAGAAACCCAGGAUGACAAGACAAAGCAACGUGAGAAGAGGAGAUCAAGUUCAUUAUCUGUGGAAGAGAGGAAUAAUAGAAUUCAGUCAUCCCCAAGAAGUUCAGAUGAAAGUGAAUCAAAACACAGGAGGCAGUUGAGGUCAAAAUCUGUGGAAGCACAUAAUCGCUCCAAUGAAAAAGCGAAUGAAACCAGGGAUGAAAGAUCAAAACAUUGUGAACUUCUUGGAGGUCGUACCACUCCCAAGAGAAAAGAAAUGAAACCAUAGAUAAAGAGCAUAGUGACCAAAAGUAGUCUAGAUCAAUGUCUGCUGAGGGUAAGCAUCACAGAGGAAGCAGGUCAUCUCCAAGAGGUGGGGAUGAAAAUAAAUCAAAACAGGUGAGGCUUUCUAGCUCAAAAUGUCCAGAAAGCAAGCAGCACUCAUGUCAUAAGAAGAGUGAAAAUAGAGAUGAAAAAUCAAAGCAUCACAAAAGAAGAGUUCAUUGUCUGAUGAAGGGCUAGAAGGACAAGAUGAAUAUCAAAAUGCAACGCAGGAGGAUAAAAUUGACUAAACUGGUGCAAGCAAGGAUGUGGGAUACAUCAAUAGAGAACCACAGUUUAUGGUUGAGGAUGGUAGUUCUUGCAAGCUCUCCAAUUGAAAGCGCAGGAGAGUAGCUUUGUAUCUGCUGAUAGAGAUCCAAGCUUUUUUUCAGUGUAGAAGAAAUGAGCUGAAAGGAUAAAUGUUAAGUUGGACCUCUUUUUGGAAGUUGACUUAUCUGGAUGAACUGAUAAAGCUCAAUUAAUUUAGAAUUCUGUUGAGAUGCAUGUCAGCCUUUGCUACACUAAGAGCGAUUCUAUUAGAAGAUUUCUUAGUGUUUCUUUGGUGCUCAGUUUUUCUGCCUGUAGUUGGUUCCUCAUAAAUAUGCACACUGUUGUUUGUUUACCUUUUGCAGGUCCAUUUGUAACAGAUUGGAACUAAGGUUUGAGGCAUGUUCUGACCUUGAUAUGGAUUAAAUAUAUCAGAGGCGUCCUCCUGUUGUCUUCAUCAACCAAUCUUUGUAGCAAGCUUCUAUUUUCUGCUACAUGUAUGUUGUACCAUUGCCUUUAUUGCUGCAUGUAGACUUUUUGAUAAACAUGUUCGUUUGAAGGAUAGUUACCAGCUUGCCAUAUUUUCUUUUUCAAAUUUUAAAUUUUGCAUGAUGUAUUAAGUUAAGCUAGAAUGUUAAUUAAAUCGCAAGUUCUUUAUAUGCUUGAGAAUAGUGGUUUAUCAGUCAAUAGUCUGGUUAAUUUGCCAUGUAAAUGUCUUUUGGUUGAGAUCAUAAGCCUGAUCAGAGUGAAGGAUUAGCACAGAGCUCUCUUCAACCGUUCCCCAUUCUUUAAGUGAACGCUUUAUGAUUUAGGUCUUGACUGUUGGCAUCUGUGGCCUUUAUUUUCUUUUAUCAUUGUUUAAGUAGAAAU
rnacentral:misc_RNA from 1 species